rnacentral:rRNA from 1 species
UCAGAUUGAACGCUGGCGGCAGGCCUAACACAUGCAAGUCGAGCGGUAACAUUUCUAAGCUUGCUUAGAAGAUGACGAGCGGCGGACGGGUGAGUAAUGCUUGGGGAUCUGCCUGAUGGCGGGGGACAACCACUGGAAACGGUGGCUAAUACCGCAUAAUACCUAUGGGUCAAAGUGUGGGACCUUCGGGCCACACGCCAUCAGAUGAACCCAAGUGAGAUUAGCUGGUUGGUAAGGUAACGGCUUACCAAGGCGACGAUCUCUAGCUGGUCUGAGAGGAUGAUCAGCCACACUGGGACUGAGACACGGCCCAGACUCCUACGGGAGGCAGCAGUGGGGAAUAUUGGACAAUGGGGGCAACCCUGAUCCAGCCAUGCCGCGUGUGUAAAGAAGGCCUUCGGGUUGUAAAGCACUUUCAGUGGUGAGGAAGGUGGUGUCGUUAAUAGCGGCGACGAUUGACGUUAGCCACAGAAGAAGCACCGGCUAACUCCGUGCCAGCAGCCGCGGUAAUACGGAGGGUGCGAGCGUUAAUCGGAAUUACUGGGCGUAAAGCGCACGUAGGCGGUUUGCUAAGCAAGAUGUGAAAGCCCAGAGCUCAACUCUGGAAUAGCAUUUUGAACUGGCAGGCUAGAGUUUUGGAGAGGGUGGUAGAAUUU